ensembl:lncRNA
UUUACUAGUUCAUCUCUGGCAGGUGCGGAUUUACCAUGCAAAGCUGUGAGUCUGAACCCAGAGGACCUCAGCGCCUUAGAAGUGGCAUCCAAGAAGAGCUAUCGACAAAUAUCUGCGGGUGAAUUCACACAGGACGAGCUUCAGAAAGAAAGACAAUUUAAUGUGUCAGACUCGGAGAGCCCUUGGACCAAGGAACCUUCACUUGGGAGAUCACCCGCUGGAGGUCAUAAAAAUAAAGAUGGCAUGAGAGAGACCGAAGAAAGAGAAAAUCUGGAAUCUGCUUCAAAGGGUCCCUAUCAUUCCCAUGCAAAGAAAACCCAGAUAAAAGAUCUUUCUCUGCGUGGAACAGAAACGGAAGAGGGUUGUUUUGUGACAUCUAAUAUUGCCAGUGUAGGAACGCGGGGUGAAAACAAACCACGGCUACAAAGCUAUGAAGAUGAGAAAUGUAUUGCAUUCUCCGAAGACAUUACAGAUUCGAACCCCCCUUGUAAAUCUGAUGUUCAAGUUAUGCAAAAAAAUGAAAAUGAGGAUUUCCCUCUUUCAGCAAAGGCCAAAGUACACACAGAGAGAAGUCUGGAAUGGUUUCUGGCUGAAGCAGUGAUAAAACCCCUUCCAGAGACAGUGAAGGAUACUACACGUGAGAUGGAUCCAGAAUGUUCCUCUUCUGUAAGUGCAGUGAUUGAUGUAGAAGAUCCUACAAAACAACAGAGGAUUGUGGGAAACGCUAACUCGGGCAACAUGACAUCAUCAGAGAGAGACAAGGUCAGCAAGUCUACUAUCAGCUUGCGUAAGGAAACAUCUGCAACUGGUUCCAUCUCUGAGCUCAUUGCUGGUCCUGAGACAACAUCAGGUUGCAUAAAUGAUAGGCCAAGUGUGGUCAAGAAAACAGAAGUCACUCUGUCUGGUUCUUCUCCGCUUCGAGAAAAAUGUUUUUUGAAGGUUUCAACAAAUGCGUCAACCCAUUCCACUUUAAGCCUGACAGACUUAUCCGGUCAGGUCCGGGAUGGUUGUGCUGCUGGAGCUGCUUUAGCAGACAACGCAGCAAACACAUCUGCUGCACAAGAUGUGCAACAUUCCUCCUCCAUGUGCAACCUUAUAAGUAUGCAAGCUAACGAGAAACAAGAUAAAGAGCAGAACAAGCUGUCGACAAAAUCAAAUUGUUGUGUGUUAGAGGAGAAACAUUCAAGCCAGCUUGACCAAAACCACGCAAUGGAAAGCAGCCCAACUGCCAUCAUGGAAGCACCACAGGGUGCACAGAAAAGACAUGUUUCUGAUAUGAUAAAGGAAACUAUUGAGUUGCAGAAGAAGAUGAAGGAGUGGACCAAGCCAGCUGAGGCCCGGGUCGAUCUGACCUUAGAUCCAACACAGUCUGUGAAAGUGUCACAGAUGAAAGCAGCAUUUGAUCCACCGAAGAAAUCACCUGAGAAAGCACUAGAGAGAAAACCUUCAGUAAGAAAAGGUAGGAACACUUCUGAGACGGAUGCUAUUCAUGUAAUUCCCUUGGGAUGGAGCAGAAAUCCCUAAUGUUGCAAUUAAACCACACCAAAAUGGCAUGCUUACAGUACC